ACUUAAGUAGUUUAAAUUGAUUAAAAUUUUAAUUUGUGGAGUUAAAGAUGCAAGUUUUUGCUUUAGGUA
rnacentral:tRNA from 1 species